CAGAGUUAUCCAACUCCCAAACCCAUGUGAACAUAUCUCUUUGUUGCCUCGGCGCAAGCUACCCGGGACCUCGCGCCCCGGGCGGCCCGCCGGCGGACAAACCAAAACUCUUGUUAUCUUAGUUGAUUAUCUGAGUGUCUUAUUUAAUAAGUCA
rnacentral:misc_RNA from 1 species